rnacentral:rRNA from 1 species
AUUGAACGCUGGCGGCAGGCUUAACACAUGCAAGUCGAGCGGGGGAAGGUAGCUUGCCACCGGACCUAGCGGCGGACGGGUGAGUAAUGCUUAGGAAUCUGCCUAUUAGUGGGGGACAACAUCUCGAAAGGGAUGCUAAUACCGCAUACGUCCUACGGGAGAAAGCAGGGGAUCUUCGGACCUUGAGCUAAUAGAUGAGCCUAAGUCGGAUUAGCUAGUUGGUGGGGUAAAGGCCUACCAAGGCGACGAUCUGUAGCGGGUCUGAGUGGAUGUGCCGUCACACUGGGACUGAGAAACUGCCCAGACUCCUACGGGAGGCAGCAGUGGGGAAUAUUGGACAAUGGGGGGGACCCUGAUCUAGCCAUGCCGCGUGUGUGAAGAAGGCCUUAUGGUUGUACAGCACUUUAAGCGAGGAGGAGGCUACUCUAGUUAAUACCUAGGGAUAGUGGACGUUACUCGCAGAAUAAGCACCGGCUAACUCUGUGCCAGCCGCCGCGGUAA